GACGAACCGUGCGAACGUUGUUCGGAAUCACUGGGCUUAAAGGGCGCGUAGGCGGUCUAUCAAGUCCGGGGUGAAAUCCUCCCGCUCAACGGGAGAACGGCCUCGGAUACUGAUGGUCUCGAGGAGGGUAGGGGCACACGGAACUGUGGGUGGAGCGGUGAAAUGCGCAGAUAUCAGGAAGAACACCCGUGGCUAAGGCGGCUCUCUAGGACGGUACUGACGCUGAGACGCGAAAGCGUGGGGAGCGAACAGG
rnacentral:rRNA from 1 species